CGCAUCUGUGCAUGCAGCAUAUCAAUAAGCGGAGGAAAAGAAACUAACAAGGAUUCCCCUAGUAACGGCGAGUGAAGCGGGAAGAGCUCAAAUUUGAAAUCUUCAAGGUUUUACCUUGACGAAUUGUAGUUUAAAGAAGUGUUUUUCUGCUGAAGUUUUGGUAAAAGUUCUUUGGAAUAGGACAUCAUAGAGGGUGAGAAUCCCGUAUUUGACCAUUAUUUUCAGCUUUGUGAUACACCUUCAAAGAGUCGGAUUGUUUGGGAAUGCAGUCCAAAAUGGGUGGUAAAUUUCAUCUAAAGCUAAAUAUUGGCGAGAGACCGAUAGCGAACAAGUACCGUGAGGGAAAGAUGAAAAGAACUUUGAAAAGAGAGUUAAACAGUACGUGAAAUUGUCAAAAGGGAAGCGUUUGACACCAGUGUUGUUUUUCUCGAAAAUCAAUUAAAAAUGGCUCGAUUUUGUAUUGCUUGAGACCUUAAAAGCUCACUGUACAUUUUUCGUGUCUUUUUUAAUGCACUUUUCGUUUAACAAGUCAACAUCAGUUUCUUUUGUUGUAAAAGGGUCAUUGGAAGGUGGCUUUCUUUUCGGAGAAAGUGUUUAUAGCCUUUGGCCUCUGCAAUCGGAGAGACUGAGGUCUGCAGCGUAGACUCUUCGGGGUUAGAUACAUUUGUGCUAAGUUAUAGCUUUUUAUAGACAACUUGUUGACUAUGAUUAGUCUUGUAGCUUACUCGCUUAUGCUAUUUUACCUACGCUUAGGAUGUUGAUAGUCACAGCGUGUAC
rnacentral:rRNA from 1 species